rnacentral:rRNA from 1 species
UACAGAGGUCUCAAGCGUUGUUCGGAUUCAUUGGGCGUAAAGGGUGCGUAGGUGGCGCUGUAAGUCGGGUGUGAAAUUUCGGAGCUUAACUCCGAAACUGCAUUCGAUACUGCGGUGCUUGAGGACUGGAGAGGAGACUGGAAUUCAUGGUGUAGCAGUGAAAAUGCGUAGAGAUCAUGAGGAAGACCAGUGGCGAAAGGCGGGGUCU